rnacentral:misc_RNA from 1 species
AAUAAUAAAUAAAAAAAUAAAAACUCUAAGCUCUGUUACAAACAAGAAUCAGAAUGUGCAUGAAAAAUAGCUGAAUAAUUUCAGUUGAAUAAAGAAAAUUUGAAAACAUAUGAAAGUGGAACAGGAAUUGAGGACAACACUCACAAGUAGACUUCAACAUUUCAAAUAGAAACAUCAAACUAAGAAGGAAAUUUAACAAGUUAAAGGGACAAAGCCUAGAGCAAUAGAGCAUACAAAUAAAGAG